GUGCCAGCCGCCCGGUAAUACCGGCAGCCCAAGUGAUGGCCGAUCUUAUUGGGCCUAAAGCGUCCGUAGCUGGCUGCGCAAGUCCGUCGGGAAAUCCAGUAGCUCAACUACUGGGCGUCCGGCGGAAACUACAAGGCUUGGGACCGGAAGGCUCGAGGGGUACGUCCGGGGUAGGAGUGAAAUCCCGUAAUCCCGAACGGACCACCGAUGGCGAAAGCACCUCGAGAAGACGGCUCCGACAGUGAGGGACGAAAGCCAGGGUCUCCAACCGGAUUAGAAACCCGAGUAGUCC
rnacentral:rRNA from 1 species